CUAGCAAGUGGUAGGAAACGUCCUAAUGCCCAUAUGUCAAUUGGCCCCACGAAGUCAAAGAGUCAAGAAGCAAAGACCAAAAUCCCCCAAACUACUGCAUUCGGCUAGAUUUGCACCUCUUGGAAGCAAAUAUGAAUUUGUAUACCUCCUAUACGUUGCCAACGCCUCACCUAGUUAAAAAAAAAAAAAAAAUAUCUAGACAUGUUACCCUAAAUGUAUGAGAGAAGCCCCUCUAACUACAUGUCAAACAACUUGAACGCCACUCCAAGCCUAAAACAAGGCAAUGAGAUACGUCUAGCAUGAAACCAAUGACUGAAGUCAAAUUGGGAAAAUAUUUUCUAAAGAAUCACAACCCUAGUAGAGAACCUUGAGCGAGAGAACAGAUUUGCAAAAAAGCAGCAAAGAAAGUAUCCCUAAGAUCCAACCAAAGAGGGAACUAUUGCCUAGCCCCCUAGCUGAAUCUCAUUGAUGAACUUUCUUCUUGACCUUCCCCUAUUUGACUACCACCUUCAUGACCCCCAAGCAUGGCUGAAAAAUCCAUGGUAUUCUCCUACCCCACGCCACCUACACCUCUGUUUGAAACCAUGGAAUGAAAGAGGAAGUAAGAAAUACAUUGAUGAAGCCAAAGGGUGCAUCUCAGCAAGCAGCACCUCAUCUCUUCUUCUUCCAACUUCUUCCAUUUCCUAAGACAAGUAUCCCAUACCUCUUCUCUCUCUUAAUCCUAUGGAGAAGAUUGGCUCUUCAUUCAGCUAACCUAAGAAGCAAAAGCUGGUUGGAGAAAUCCACCGUGAAGAGUCAUGGUUUUGAAGAAACAUGGUGGUAACUGAUUACCGCCCAACCAAACCAUAAACUGUUUUUUGAAAAAUUUUCUUCCAUCACACACCCCACUAGAUCAAAAUUGUAGCUCCUAAGAUUCCCCUAGUUGAACUCAAGAAAAGCCAUGAGGAAGCUUCUAGUUAACCUAGCUGAAAUCACCAUGGUAGAAGCACCAGAGAGCAAUUGGGUAAACCAUGGUAGGAGGCAUGCUUUGAGUGAUCGGUCACCAUUUAAGAGGCCUAUAAAUACAACCCUUCAUACCUCACUUCACCUCACACCAUUGCAAGAGAGAUUAGUAAAAUCUAGGGAGAGUUUCAAAAGAGAGUGAGGAGUUCUAGCUAAGUGCUUGUAAGAGGGUCCCAACGUUUGCUUUGAUGACGUUGUCCCAAAAAGUUGGGCUACUGUAACCGACAAGUACUCAUGGUGCAGAAAGGGGAGCCUUGAUGUUACCAUAUGUUAAGGAAGAAAAGAAAUAAAAAUGAAAGAAUAGAAAAUGAAAUGUUCUCUAUAAAAAAAAUAUGUAUCUAAAUUCUUUGAAAGAUGUGGAGAAAUCCGGAUGAAAAAGCAAGUAUGUUCUCUAAAUUCUCUUAAAGAUGUUAAGGAAUCUAGGUGGAAAAACAAGUUUUUUCUCUACAUACCAUGCAAGCAUCUCAUGUUGAUUAUCUAUCACGUUUAUGUUAUCUCUUUGUAUGUUGGUUGCUAACUUACUGAGAUUUCAAGAAAUCUCAAUCUAUUAUGACCAAACUACAAUUUUUUUUGAGAUAGUAGAAAUUGUAGCAGGACCUAACCAUGGUGAUGAAUGCAAAUCCUUGGUUAAGGAUGAUUGGAGAAGAGAUAGACCCUGAUUGCCAAUUGGAGUUGAUCAUGAUGUUCCUCGAGAUGGUCCUACAAGCCAUUCAGCACAUCAGAGAGAUGCUCUAAAAACUUUUGUCUUAAAACCCCUAUCAACCAUGACUUGAAUAAGGAGUUAUAUUCUCAAUUUGUUUAUAAGUACUAUGUACUCGCCUCACGUUAUGGAAUUUUAAAUGCAGUGUGAAUGAAAGUUAA